GGAGUGUAGUCUGUGCCGAGAAGAGGCAAGAAGAGGCGGAGCUUCACUGAGAGCCUACGCCGGCCGUGUUUAGAGAAAACAGCUGAUGAGCCACCAGUGGCUGUGGUUCAGGAGGCGUGGCUUUGUCUUUUCCGCGGCGCCGGCGGCAAUCCCUGUGCUCAAAGGAUUCUGGGUACUGUGGUCCUGGUCCCUUGGCAAGCAGGGCAGUGAUGGGUGCUGGCCCACCCAGCCUUUGGCCGUGUGGCGGGACAGAGUGCCAGUGUCGAAUAAGCUUGGAAAGUGCACCUAGUCCUGAUGGAUGUACAGUGCUAUUAACAGGAACCCAGGUUGAGAUGCGGGGCAAGGACUUGCAUUAGUGGAGUGGCUUCAGGAUGAGGAGUCCAUGAAGAGGCUUCUUCCAUCUUGAAAAAAGGGGGCCAGUGGCUGCUCACUCAGAGUCAUUCUCUGGAAGUGUUGGUUCAUUGGAAGAUAUCCUGGAGGUCUCCAUGAUGCCAUGAACAGCUAGAGAAGGAUAGGUAUUAACUCUGCUUUAAAUAUCUGGUAGAGAUGAGGAGGAGCCAGGAUGGUGGAACAGCAUGGAAGUUUUUUGUGUGUCUCGCAUCCAUGAAAUACAACCAGACCAACACUAAACCAUCCUGCACACCUAGAAAACUGAUUGGAGGAUUAACACAACAAUCUGCACAACCUGAACCACAGAAUUCAGCAGUAGUCACUCUAAAUGUCAAUGGACUCAAUGCUCCAAUCAAAAGAUAUAGGGCAACAGAAUGGAUAAGAAAACAAGAUCCAUCUAUAUGCUGUUUACAAGAGACCCACUUUAGACCUAAAGAUUCAGAUUGAAAAUACGGGGAUCCUUAUCUACCAACAAAAGAAAACCGGAGUAGCCAUAGUUAUAACAGACAAUCUAGACUUUAAAGACUGUAUCAAUAGAUGCAGAAGGGCAUUAUAUCAUAAUCAAGGGGUCUAUCCACCAAGAAGACCUAACAAUUAUAAACAUUUAUGUGCCAAAUGUGACAGUACCCACAUAUAUAAAUCAAUUAAUCACAAACAUAAAGAAACUAAUCGAUAGUAAUACCAUAAUAGUAGGAGACUUCAACACCCCACUCACAGCAAUGGACAGAUCAUCUAAUCAAAAAAUCAACAAGGAAACAAUGCUUUGAAUGUCACACUGGACCAGAUGGACUUAACCAGAUAUAUUCAGAACAUUUUGACCUAAAGCAGCAGGAUACACAUUCUUCUCCAGUGCACAUGGAACGUUCUCCAGAAUAGACCAUAUCCUGGGACCCAAAUCAGCCCUAAGUAAGUACAAAAAGAUCGAGAUCAUACCGUGCAUAUUUUGAGACCACAAUGUUAUGAAACUCGAAAUCAACCACAAGAAAAAAUUUAGAAAGGUAAAAAAUACUUGGAGACUGAAGAACAUCCUACUAAUGAAUGAAUGGGCUAACCAAGCAGUUAAAGAGGAAAUUAAAAAGUAUAUGGAAGACACUGAAAAUGAUAACACCACAACCCAAAACCGCUGGGAUGCAGCAAAUGCGGUCAUAAGAGGAAAGUAUAUAGCAAUCCAGGCAUUCCUAAAGAAGGAAGAAAGAUCUCAGAUACACAACCUAACCUUACACCUUAAGGAGCUGGAAAAAGAACAGCGAAUAAAACCCAAAACCAGCAGAAGACAGGAAAUAGUAAAGACUAGAGCAGAAAUUAAUGCUACCAAAACAAACAAAAAAAACCCCAGUAGAACAGAUCAAUGAAACCAGAAGCUGGUUCUUUGAAAGAAUUAACAACAUUGAUAAACCACUAGCCAGUCUGAUCAAAAAGAAAAAGGAAAGGAUGCAAAUACAUAAAAUCAAAAAUGAAAGAGGAGAGAUCACAACCAACACAGCAGAAAUAAAAACAAUAAUAAGAGGAUAUUAUGAGCAAUUAUAUGCCAAUAAAAUGGGCAAUGUGGAAGAAAUGGACAAAUUCCUAGAAACAUAUACACUACCAAAACUGCAACAGGAAGAAAUAGAAAAUUUUGAACAGACCCAUAACCAGUAAGGAAGUUGAAUUAGUAAUCAAAAGUCUGCCAAAAAGAACAAGAGUCGAAGGGCCAGAUGGCUUUCCGGGGGAAUUCUACCAAACAUUUAAGGAAGAGUUAACACCUAUUCUCUUGAAACUGUUCCAAAAAAUAGAAAUGGAAGGAAAACUUCCAAACUCUUUCUAUGAAGCCAGCAUUACCUUGAUUCCAAAACCAGAGACCCCACUAAAAAGAAGAACAAUAGAUCAAUUUCCCUGAUGAACAUGGAUGCAAAAAUCCUCAACAAGAUAUUAGCCAACUGGCUCCAAUACUACAUUUGAAAAAUUAUUCACCACGACCAAGUGGGAUUUAUACCUGGGAUGCAGGGCUGGUUCAGUACCCAGAAAGCAAUCAAUGUGAUUCAUCACAUCAGUAAAAGAAAGGACAAGAACCAUAUAAUCCUCUCAAGAGAUGCAGAGAAAGCAUUUGACAAAAUACAGUAUCCUUUCUUGAUAAAAACCCUCAAGAAAGUAGGGAUAGAAGGAGCAUACCUCGAGAUCAUAAAAGCCAUAUAUGGACGACCCAACGCUAAUAUCAUCCUCAAUGGGGAAAAACUGAGAGCUUUCCCCCUAAGGUCAGGAACAAGACAGGGAUGUCUACUCUCGCCACUGUUAUUCAAUAUAGUAUUGGAAGUCUUAGCCUCUGCAAUCAGACAACACAAAGAAAUAAAAGGCAUCCAAAACAGCCAGGAGGAGGUCAAACUUCACUCUUCUCAGAUAACAUGAUACUCUAUAUGGAAUACCCAAAAGAUUCCACCAAAAAAUUUCUAGAACUGAUUCAUGAAUUCAGCAAGGUUGCAGGAUAUAAAAUCAACACACAGAAAUCAGUUGCAUUCCUAUACACCAACAAUGAAGUGACAGAAACAAAUCAAGGAAUCAAUCCCACUUACAGUUGCACCAAAAACUAUAAAAUACCUAAGAAUAAAUCUAACCAAAGAGGUGAAAAAUCUAUACACUGAAAACUAUAGAAAGGUUAUGAAGGAAAUUGAAGAAGACACAAAAAAAAUGGAAAAAGAUUCCAUGCUCCUGGAUAGGAAGAACAAAUAUUGUUAAAAUGUCGAUAAUACCCAAAGCAAUCCACAUAUUCAAUGCAAUCCCUAUCAAAGUAACACCAGCAUUCUUCACAGAACUAGGACAAACAAUCCUAAAAUUUGUAUGGAACCAGAAAAGACCCAGAAUAGACAAAGCAAUCUUGAAAAAGAAAACCAAAGCAGGAGACAUCAUAAUCCCAGACUUCAAACUGUAUUACAAAGCUGUAAUCAUCAAGACAGUAUGGUACUGGCACAAGAACAGACAGAUCAAUGGAACAGAAUAGAUAACCCAAAAAUGGACCCACAAAUGUAUGGCCAACUAAUCUUUGACAAAGCAGGAACGAAUAUCCAAUGGAAUAAAGACAGUGUUUUCAGCAAGUGGUGCUGGGAAAACUGGACAGUGACAUGCAGAAGAAUGAACCUGGAAUACUUUCUUACACCAUACACACAAAAAAAACUCAAAAUGGAUGAAAGACAUCAAUGUAAGACAGGAAACCAUCAAAAUCCUCGAGGAGAAAGCAGGCAAAAACCUCUUUGACCUUGGCCACAGCAACUUCUUAACACGUCUCCGGAGGCAAGGGAGACCAAAGCAAAAAUGAACUAUUGGGACCUCAUCAAAAUAGAAAGCUUCUGCACAGCAAAGGAAACAAUCAGCAAAACUAAAAGGCAACUGAGAGAAGAAACUGAGGGUUACUGGAGGGUUUUUGGGAGGCUGGACGGGGUAAAAGGGAUAAGUGGCACUAAGGAAUCUACUCUGAAAUCAUUGUUCACUAUAUGCUACCUAAUUUGGAUGUAAAUUUAAAAAUAAAUAAAUAAAUAGCUGGUAGAAUUCCCCUGGGAAUCCAUCUGGACCAGGACUCUUAUUUGUUGGGAGAUUUUUGAUAACUGAUUCAAUUUCUUUACUGGUUAUGUGUCUGUUCAAAUUUUCUAUUUCUUUCUGUUUGAGUUUUGGUAGUGUGUGUGUGUGUCUAGGAAUUUGUCCAUUUCUUCUGGUUUGUCCAUUUGCCAGUUUGUUGGCAUAUAAUUUUUCAUAAUAUUCUCUGAUAAUUGUUUGUAUUUCUGAUGGGUUGGUUGUGAUAUGUCUAAUAUCAUUUGUGAUUUUAUCUAUUUAGGUUCUCUCUCUUUUUGAGAAGUCUGGCUAGGGGUUUAUCAACUUGGUUUAUUUUUUCAAAAAACCAGCUCUUAGUUUCACUGAACUGUUCUACUGUUGUUUUGGAUUCUAUAUUGUUUACUUCUGCUCUGCUAUUUAUUAUUUUUCUUCUUCUGCUGGCCUUGGGGUUUCUUUCCUAUUCUGCUCAUAGGCCCUUUAGGUGUGCUGUUAGAUUUUGUAUUUGGGAUUUUUAUUGUUUCUUGAGAUAGGCCUGGACUGCAAUGUAUUUUCCUCUUAGGACUGCUUUGCUGCAUCCCAAAGGGUUUCGACUGUUGUGUUUUCAUUUUCAUUUGCUUCCAUAUAUUUUUAAAAUUUCUUCCUUGACUGGUUGACCCAUUCAUUCUUUAGUAGGAUUUUCUUUAACCUCCAGGGAUUUGAGGCUUUCCAACCUUUUUCCUGUGGUUGAUUUCCAGUUUCAUAUCAUUGUGAUCUGGAAAUUUGCAUGGUAUGAUCUCAAUUCUUUUAUAUUUAUUGAGGGCUGUUUUGUGACUCAGUAUGUGAUCUAUCUUGGAGAAUGUUCCAUGUGCACUUGAGAAGAAUGUGUAUUCUGCUUCUUUAGGAUGAGAAGUUCUGAAUAUAUCUGUCAAGUCCAUCUGGUCCAGUGUAUCAUUCACGGCCAUUGUUUCUCUAUUGAUUUUCUGCCUCAAUGAUCUGUCCAUUGUUGUAAGUGGAGUAUUAAAAUCACCUGCAAUUACUAUAUUCUUAUCAAUAAGAUUGCUUAUAUUCAUGAUUAAUUGAUGUAUAUAUUUGGGUGCUUGCAAAUUGUGUGCAUAAACAUUUAUCACUGUUACCUCUUCUUGAUGGAUAGACUCUAAUUAUUAUAUAAUACUCUUCUUCAUCUCUUGUUACAGUUUUUAGUUUAAAAUCUAGUUUGUCUGAUAUAAAUAUGGCUACUCCAGCUUUCUUUUGACUUCCAGUAACAUGAUAGAUGGUUAUCCAUCCCCUCACUUUCAAUCUGAAGGUGGCUUCAGGCCUAAAAUGGGUCUCUUGUAGACAGCAUAUAGAUGGGCUUUGUUUUUUAUCCAUUUUGAUACGUGUUUUUGGAGAAUUUAGUCCAUUUAUAUUUAGCAUUUUAUUGAAAAAUAUGGAUUUAGUGUCAUUGUGUUAUCUGUAGGUUUCAUGCUUGUGGUGUGUCUCUGGUCUUUGUAGUCUUUGCAACAUUCCACUCACAGAGUCCACCUUAGGAUCUCUUGUAGGGCUUGUUUAAUGGUUGAUGAACUCCUUCAGUUUUUGUUUGUGUAGGAAAACCUUUAUCUCCCCUUAUAUUCUGAAUGACAGCCUUGCUGGAUAAAUGAUCCUUGGCUGCAUAUUUUUCCUAUUCAGAACCUUGAAUAUUUCCUGCCACUCCCUUCUGGCCUGCCAAAUUCAGUUGACGGGUCUGCUACUACCCUUAUGUGUUUACCCUUGUAGGUUAAGGCCCGUUUGUCCCUAGCUGCUUUCAGAAUUCUCUCUUUAUCUUUGUAUUUUGCCAGUUUCACUAUGAUAUGUCAUGGAGAAGAUUGGUUCCUGUUACAUCUGAAGGGAGUUCUCUGUGCCUCCUGGAUUUCAAUGUCUUCUUUCCUCAGAUUGGGGAAGUUCUCAGCUAUGAUUUGUUUAAGUAUACUUUCUGUCCCUUUCUCUCUCUUCUUCUUCUUCCAAAACUCCUAGGAUAUGGAUAUUAUUAUCUCUGAUUCUCCCAUGUGGUCUACUAGUUUUUUAUUGCUCUUUUUCUCCACUUCAUAAUUUUCGAUAAUUUAUCUUCUGUUCCCUUAAUCUCUCUCUUCUGGAACUCCUAUGAUAUGGAUAUUAUUAUGUUUCAUUAAAUCACUUAGUUCUCUAAGUCUCCUCUUGUGGUCUAGAAUUUUUUAAAUCUUUCUUUAUUUCAGCUUCAUCUUUUUUCCAUAAUUUUAUCUUCUAUUUCACUUUUCUCCCAUCUGCCUCUUCAAUCCUUGUUGUCAACACAUUUAGUUUAUUUUGCACCUCACUUCAAUAUUUAUUUAUUCGUCAUGACUAUAUUUUAGUUCCUUGUUCUCUGCAGCAAUAGUUUCUCUUCUGUCUUCUAUCCUUUUUCAAGCCCAGCUAUUAAUCUUAUGACUAUUAAUCUAAAUUCUUGCUCAGUUAUAUUAGUUAUAUCUGUUUUGAGCAAUUUUUAGCUGUCAUUUCUUCCUGGAAUUUUUUUGAGGAGAAUUCUUUCAUUUCAUCAUUUUGGCCUGUUUUCUGUCCCUUAUGUGUUUUAAAAACUUGUUAUGUGUUCUGCACCUGUGAACACUACUAUAUUAAAGAGGCAUCAUAAACUGUCCAAGGCCUGGCCCUUCAGGAGGUGUUUUUUGGAGUGUGUUACUUGCUCUGUGUUGUUGUGACUCUGGUUGCUUUGUCUCCCUACUCGUAGUGAUUGUUUGGACCCUCCACCAGGUGUUUUUUGAUUUGUUCAUUGAAGUAACCCUAGGAAAAAAAAUUUUUUUAAAGUGGGGGUUGGUGGUGGUGGAAAAGGCCUUAUUCCAUGAAAAGAGAGAAAUGACAGGGGCUAGAAAAAAGAAAAGAAAAUUGACCAGGCAGAGAAACUAUAUGGCUUAAUCCAGAGAGAGAGAGAGGAAAAUAAAGGAGAACAGGUGUAAAAAGAAUAGAUUAAAUAUGUCUGCUUAAACAAACCAAUAGCCAGAAUAACCAGACAAGAGAAAGGGAGAAAUAAGAAGGAGAAAGGGAGAAAAUAUAUAGUAAGAAUUGUCCAAGAUUUAGAUCAGAAAAUGCAAAACCUCUGGGUUUCUUGGAACCAGUGGCAGUGCUGGUCUGGAGGAGGGGCUGUCUGCUUGGUCAGCAUCAAUCCUGCUCUGGUAGAUACACAGUUACCAGCUGUGGAGGGGCGUGGUCUUGUGUAGGCGGGUCCCGCCUCCACUGUGCCCCCGUGUUUGUUCCCUGAAGCCCCACCUUGUUGGUGAUGGCGAGAAAAAUGGCAACACCCCAGUCUCUUCUCCCCAGACUGGGUGUCCCAAACCCUGUUCAGGCCAUCCUCACAGUGCUGCACAGGCGCAAGUGGGCCGUGUUUUUUGUUUUGUUUUGUUUUGUUUUUUGUUUUUUUUUGCUCUAGUCUCCAUUGUCUCCCUGAAAAUCCUCUGGGAUUCAAAUCCCGAUGUUUUAAAGGAUCCUGCUCCAUGCACUCCGGUUCCUGGGAAGUGCCACUCCCCCAAUGAUGAAGGGCCUUUGGCUCCUCACAGUGCCGGGCAUGCACAAAGGAGGUGGUUUGUCCCAUUCUGUCGACUCCCAUGCCUCCCUAGUGCUUGGCUGGGAUUCAAAUCCUGAUGUCUUAAGGGAUCCCCCUCCACGUUUCUUGGUUCAGGAAAGUGCUGCUCCACCCCACCAAUAAAGGGCCUCUGGCUGGUGGGCACAGGCAGUCUUUGUCCUUUGAACUGUUAUUUACCUUCUUCCCACAGCACUGGAGGGAGGGGAUUGCUU